rnacentral:rRNA from 1 species
GGUUGCGAUCAUACCAGUACUAAUGCACCGGAUCCCAUCAGAACUCCGCAGUUAAGCGUGCUUGGGAGAGAGUAAUACUAGGAUGGGUGACCCCCUGGGAAGUCCUCGUGUUGCAACCCC